rnacentral:rRNA from 1 species
AUUGAACGCUGGCGGCAGGCUUAACACAUGCAAGUCGAGCGGAGAUGAGGUGCUUGCACCUUAUCUUAGCGGCGGACGGGUGAGUAAUGCUUAGGAAUCUGCCUAUUAGUGGGGGACAACAUUCCGAAAGGAAUGCUAAUACCGCAUACGCCCUAAGGGGGAAAGCAGGGGAUCUUCGGACCUCGCGCUAAUAGAUGAGCCUAAGUCGGAUUAGCUAGUUGGUGGGGUAAAGGCCUACCAAGGCGACGAUCUGUAGCGGGUCUGAGAGGAUGAUCCGCCACACUGGGACUGAGACACGGCCCAGACUCCUACGGGAGGCAGCAGUGGGGAAUAUUGGACAAUGGGGGGAACCCUGAUCCAGCCAUGCCGCGUGUGUGAAGAAGGCCUUUUGGUUGUAAAGCACUUUAAGCGAGGAGGAGGCUCUCUUAGUUAAUACCUAGGAAGAGUGGACGUUACUCGCAGAAUAAGCACCGGCUAACUCUGUGCCAGCCGCCGCGGUAAUAC